rnacentral:rRNA from 1 species
UGGGGAAUUUUGGACAAUGGGGGAAACCCUGAUCCAGCCAUCCCGCGUGUGCGAUGAAGGCCUUCGGGUUGUAAAGCACUUUUGGCAGGAAAGAAACGUCAUGGGUUAAUACCCCGUGAAACUGACGGUACCUGCAGAAUAAGCACCGGCUAACUACGUGCCAGCAGCCGCGGUAAUACGUAGGGUGCAAGCGUUAAUCGGAAUUACUGGGCGUAAAGCGUGCGCAGGCGGUUCGGAAAGAAAGAUGUGAAAUCCCAGAGCUCAACUUUGGAACUGCAUUUUUAACUACAGGGCUAGAGUGUGUCAGAGGGAGGUGGAAUUCCGCGUGUAGCAGUGAAAGGCGUAGAUAUGCGGAGGAACAACGAUGGCGAAGGCAGCCUCCUGGGAUAACACUGACGCUCAUGCACGAAAGCGUGGGGAGCAAACAGG